CAAGGAGAUGAUGAUGAGUAUCAGUACAGUGAGAGAGAUGGAAGUGAAGAUGACUCUGGAUAUGAAGAUGAUGAGGAAGAACCUGAAGAUGACUUAGAAAAUGCAAAUAACUUUCACGAGAUCAAUAUGCAUGAACAAAAAAGUAAUGUGAGGGGGCCAACUAAGAUGAAGAGGAUGUGGAAAGAGUAUGAUCCUAAUAGCAAGAUCCAAUUGAAGUUCAAUAGAUUUGGUCAGCCAUGUGGACUGAAGACAUGCAAAUUAACAAGUUUCAUUGGGUACCUUGUUAGAGGGAAGGAAAUUUCUUUAGGACACAAAAUUUGGAGCAAGGUAGAUAAAUCUCACAAAGAGAAGUUGUGGACAACUAUAUAGGUACAUAGGCACAACCUGCACUUAUUUACUUGAUGACUUUGAAAGUUAAUGUUGAUUAGAAAUGUAAAUUCAUGCAGGGAUUUUUUGACAUUGAUGAGUAUUACAAACCUUGGGUUUUGAAGUCUGCUAGCAAAAAGUGGAAAGAUUUUAAGGUUGUUUUGAAGAGGAAGUACUUUGAUCCUAAUUUAUCUCGGAGACAAAAUAUCAGUAACGGUUGUGGGAAAAGGAUUCCAGCACCUCAAUGGGAGUGGCUAGUGAAUCACUGGACAUCAAAUGCGGGACAGCUUAAAUCUGAGAAGAACAAGGCCACUAGAGCACUGCAACUGAAUGGAAGGCACACCACUGGAUCGAGAAGCAAUGCAGUUGUUUUAGAUCAAAUGGAACUAAAGGAAGGAAGAUAAAUAGGCCGUGCUGAGCUCUAUAUAGCAACACAUACCAGAAAAAAUGGACAGCCAAUUGAUGAUUAUAGCUUUGAAAAAAUUGAUGAAAUCCGAAGAAGAUUUCAACAAGACCCUUCUUUGACUGCUGAGGAUACUCAUGACAAUGAUUUAUUCUCAACAUUGUUCCCAAAAGAGAGGAGUGGAAG